rnacentral:rRNA from 1 species
AUUGAACGCUGGCGGCAGGCCUAACACAUGCAAGUCGGACGAGCGGCGGACGGGUGAGUAAUGUAUGGGAAACUGCCUGAUGGAGGGGGAUAACUACUGGAAACGGUAGCUAAUACCGCAUACCAUCAGAUGUACCCAUAUGGGAUUAGCUGGUAGGUGGGGUAACGGCUCACCUGGGCGACGAUCCCUAGCUGGUCUGAGAGGAUGACCAGCCAAACUGGAACGGAUACACGGCCCAGACUGCGACGGGAGGAAGAAGUGGGGAAUAGUGCACAAUGGGCGCAAGCCUGAUGCAGCCAUGCCGCGUGUAUGAAGAAGGCCUUCGGGUUGUAAAGUACUUUCAGCGGGGAGGCGUUACCGGCAGAAGAAGCACCGGCUAACGCCGUGCCAGCAGCCGCGGUAAUAC